rnacentral:lncRNA from 1 species
GUUAAUACACGGUGCUGUGGCUGAGGUUAAUAAACGGUGCUGUGGCUGAGGUUAAUACGCGGUGCUGAGGUUAAUACACGGUGCUGUGGCUGAGGUUAAUACACGGUGCUGUGGCUGAGGUUAAUACACGGUGCUGUGGCUGAGGUUAAUAAACGGUGCUGUGGCUGAGGUUAAUAAACGGUGCUGUGGCUGAGGUUAAUAAACGGUGCUGUGGCUGAGGUUAAUAAAUGGUGCUGUGGCUGAUAAACGGUGCUGUGGCUGAGGUUAAUAAACGGUGCUGUGGCUGAGGUUAAUAAACGGUGCUGUGGCUGAGGUUAAUAAACGGUGCUGUGGCUGAGGUUAAUACACGGUGCUGUGGCUGAGGUUAUUAAACGGUGCUGUGGCUGAGGUUAAUACACGGUGCUGUGGCUGAGGUUAAUACACGGUGCUGAGGUUAAUAAACGGUGCUGUGGCUGAGGUUAAUAAACGGUGCUGUGGCUGAGGUUAAUACACGGUGCUGUGGCUGAGGUUAAUACAUGGUGCUGUGGCUGAGGUUAAUACACGGUGCUGUGGCUGAGGUUAAUAAACGGUGCUGUGGCUGAGGUUAAUAAACGGUGCUGUGGCUGAGGUUAAUAAACGGUGCUGUGGCUGAGGUUAAUACACGGUGCUGUGGCUGAG